rnacentral:rRNA from 1 species
GACGAACGCUGGCGGCGUGCUUAACACAUGCAAGUCGAACGGAAAGGCCCUGCUUUUGUGGGGUGCUCGAGUGGCGAACGGGUGAGUGACACGUGAGUAACCUGCCCUUGACUUUGGGAUAACUUCAGGAAACUGGGGCUAAUACCGGAUAGGAGCUCCUGUUGCAUGGUGGGGGUUGGAAAGUUUCGGCGGUUGGGGAUGGACUCGCGGCUUAUCAGCUUGUUGGUGGGGUAGUGGCUUACCAAGGCUUUGACGGGUAGCCGGCCUGAGAGGGUGACCGGCCACAUUGGGACUGAGAGACGGCCCAGACUCCUACGGGAGGCAGCAGUGGGGAAUAUUGCACAAUGGGCGGAAGCCUGAUGCAGCAACGCCGCGUGCGGGAUGACGGCCUUCGGGUUGUAAACCGCUUUCGCCUGUGACGAAGCGUGAGUGACGGUAAUGGGUAAAGAAGCACCGGCUAACUACGUG